AUAGAAACUGCGAGUCCAGCAAUCGUUUUCAGAAACUUCAGGAGUCAGGAAAACAAACAGUGUUCGUACAUCGCCCCCCGUAAAAGCAGAAUCUAAGUCAACCUGAUUGAAUGGCAUCAGCAAUCCCACAACCACCGAGGCCACUGUUUCGCCGGCACAGAACAACAAGAUUCCUCAUAUCUCGGAACCCUCCAGGUAAAUGGACCACGCAGAAGAACAACAAUGAUACUUCUAGUCCUGCUAGACUCGCCCAUCUCCAUCUUCCUCACCAUCAUCUUGUUCAUUCUCUUCUUUCGCUUUGCCCUCGUCUUCUUCUUCCUUGUCCUCCUCUUCAUUUUCUGCUCCAACCUCGUUCACCUAUUUUUCGACAUUCUCUGCCCGUCAUGACCACUCCUAAGGCCGCCGCUCAAGACUCCGGCCAGCCCUCAACCAAAACGGUGAGGGUUGUGAUAAAGGGGCAGGUGCAGGGGGUGUUCUACAGGAACUGGACGGUGGAUAAUGCCAACCAACUGGGGCUGAAAGGUUGGGUGCGGAACAAGAGGGAUGGCACUGUGGAAGCUCUGUUCUCUGGGAACCCUGAUGUGGUCCAGGAGAUGGAGCAAAGGUGUCGCCGAGGUCCACCAGCUGCGGUGGUUACCGGGCUCGGGGUUUUUCCUAGCAGCGAUGAUCCUGGAUCUAGAUUUGAGUGCAAACCAACAGUCUGAUCAAUCUAUGUAAAAACAUAGUAGCAAUAUGCUGUGCUAUGGAGAAUCUUAUACUUGGGUGAGUGUGGACAUGACUCGAAUUGCAGAAUCAACCUGUCACCAGUGUGUUCCAACAUGGAAAAGUUUAGAGGCCCAUUUUCAUCAGGCUGACGGGGUUGUGCUUUCCCUUAUGUUGCCCAAGUGUGGUUUGCUAGUCCUUUCUGGUUGCCUUUCCCGCAUAGUUUACAGACUGUUAAGUCCAGGAACGCGUAGCUGUCAUGGUAUGACGUGCUGGGAAUCUGAAACUGAUAUGUCGGAGCUUAUAAUGAAUUCAAGGUGUUGUAUAUGACAGGUGAAUUUGUCUAAUCUACUCCAUUCAGAAAUUGGUAACUGCUUUUUCCUCUCUGCCCCUAUGGUGAAUUAGAUUGAUUGAAAGAGUGCCUCUUUUUUGUGCGCCAAAUUUCAAUCUGCAUCGCAUGCUUGUAUAACUGAACUCUGAAGGCUUCGAUGAUAGGAAAUGCAUCCACAUGCAUGGGCCCAACCACUGUUGCCUUCCCCUUAAUGUGCUUGAGAUACUGGAUAGUGACUCAGCUUCGCUUGCAGAACAAAGACUAAUGUAAGCUUAUCUUUUAUGGGAUUUUUCUGGUGGAAGAUAGGCAAUUAAUGCCUGGAGAAAGAGCCAUUGCCUACGUACUUUUUGUCCUGUCUUCCGUAUACAGUGUUCCUCUCUAGGCCCCCAUUAUUGCAGGUAAGGAAAAAUAUCAUAUCAUAGUUCUGAAGAUACAGCUAAUUCCGUACCAAAAAGGUGUCCAAUGAAAAUGACCAUUGAUGAUGCAGCACAUGCGAUUGCUCCACAAUUAAGCUCCUUUUUCUAUCAUUCGCUUUGAAGACUGAAUACAUUAUAUAUAUACAACCUUUGCUUGUGGAAGAACUUGGAAAGCU